rnacentral:rRNA from 1 species
UACGUAGGGUGCAAGCGUUGUCCGGAAUCAUUGGGCGUAAAGCGCGCGUAGGUGGCUUCGUAAGUCCGUUGUGAAAGUCAAAGGCUCAACCUUUGAAUGCCGAUGGAUACUGCGAAGCUAGAGUACGGAAGAGGCGAGUGGAAUUCCUGGUGUAGCGGUGAAAUGCGCAGAUAUCAGGAGGAACACCGGUGGCGAAGGCGGGUCUCUGGGCCGAUACUGACGCUGAGGAGCGAAAGCGUGGGGAGCGAACAGG